ensembl:lncRNA
GAGGAUUACGUAUGUAGGGGCAGAGCAUCUCUCCCGCUCCCUCUCUUUGCCUCUGUCUCCUCCUCUCUCUAUAAGUGCCCGGCUCCAUCCUUUCCCAUUCACACGCUGCUCCGGCACGAGAGAGGAGGUACGCAGGGAAGACCGCGGCCAGGGAAGCGGCGGGACACAGAUAUUGGACGUUUGUCUCUAGACCGCUCCAUCCCUCCCUGUCUCCACCCCCAUCCCCUUCCACCUUCUCCCCUUCUCUCUCUCCUCCCUUUUCCUCUGUGCCUUUUACGCUCCCUCUCUCCCCGCACCCCCCCGCUCUCUCUCCCUUGGUCGACCGACAGCUGCGUCCGUGCGACAUGGGUUGUGGAAAUUCCUCAGCCACCAGCACCUCGGGGGGAGGUCCCGCUGACGUUUCGAAGGACGUCGAAGGAAGGUAAUCGUCGCCGUAUCCUUGAAACCAAAACACUCCGGUGAGGCCCGCUGACAGCGAAUGAAAGCACCCGCCCACUCGUCGAUCAAGGAGCGCAUCGAGUGCUGUGAUGCUGAAAUGCGGUCGUCCUUCACGUUCACUUCAAAACUAACAGAACAAACACACAUGCUGAUUCAGUGGCCAGGCAGCAGGUCAGCAAUGGAAGUGAUGGAACAAGAACACAGUCUUUGUUUCAUUGGGUUCAGGACAGAUGAACUCUCCCCAGACGACGAGAAACGAAGGAAUUACGGCGGGGUAUAUGUGGGCCUGCCAGCCGACUUGAGCACCGUCACUGCGGGCCAGUCCAAGUCCACGAGCAAAGAUUAACGGAGGGACGGUGAAGCGGACACAUUUACAAGUGUUCCUGGACAGAACCUGUUUCCUGCAGGCGUUCUCGAGCACCGCCCAUGGUGCGGAGCAGUGGUCUUGGCUAGAAUUAACGAGUCAGCGGUUCGGACCCUUUCACCGGAUCCCCAAAGCGAAAACGGACGGCUUUCGACGGCAAUCGGGCCCUGCGCUGAAACAAAGGACACCCGGCAACUGCAGCGGCACGUCACCUUAACCUGCACCUCGAUCUCUGGACCGUUACCGCUCGACCGAGGUGAAGCCACGACGUUAGCGGGUGGUCAUGCGAUGCAUCAUGGGAGUCAGCCCGUUACCUCCGCCGUGCCCUGGCACUUACCACUCAGGAGCAAAAAACCGCUUUGCGCUCAAAGCCAUCUGAGGAAAUUGCGAUCUUUAAUUUCCAUUUUAGCGUCCUUUUCGUUCCAAACGUACGUGGCAAAUUUUCUCCUGCUAUGUCAGUUCCGAGCCCUACGGGUCAAUUUUGCGGAGCAGAACUGACCGCAAAGUGCCCCUAGGAGUCGAGCGAAAAUGGAAGCCUGCCACUGACCUAUUUAACCCCAGGAUGGGUACGAUAUAGAGGAUGAGUGCAGACCGGCUAAUUAUUAAGAAGGAUUAGAAAAAAAAAUCAGUGCAGUUUUUUCUUUGGGUCUCAACUGUUUAGCUGGGUCAUCGGCAAACCGCACCACCCUCCAGCAUCACGGCAGAGUCAGAGUAGGUGGGGAGGCUUCGGGAAAAACCAAAAACAGGUUGAGGCUGCCCACAGGUCACACUCUUUUUACAAAGUCCUCAGAUAUGUAAGAAAACAACAAUAAUCUGUUAUCUUUUACUGAGCGUCUUCAUGCAAACAAAAGUGUUCCACCUGAUUUUUAAGCAGCGAUAGCGGGUGGGACACACUUUGUGCUCACGUCUAGCCAAAGGCUCUGAAUCUGAUGCUUGAGGGUUUGAGGGACAGGUUUCUGUAACACUUUAUAGAAGAAUAAUUUGUGUGACUGAUGCUGAACCCGUGUGUCGCGGUAAUAACCGAAUACGCUAAUGUCUGUUCAGAGGUAGUGUCUUAUCUUUACUACGGUCCACUAUUGAUGUGUGUUUUUGCAAUAUGUUUGAACUUAUCACCCUCCAGUUGGUAUUUGCUUGUGAUUUCAGAUGCCUUAUUUUGAUAUUUGUGAGAUGAGCAGUAGAAAAUAAUAAUAUAUGUAGAAACGAAAGUUCACGUUUUAAAUUUUGUAAAAAGGAAAAAAACUAAGUCUCAGCCCUCAUUUGGUGCUCAUGUUAUUUUCUGAGAAAGAAGGUCAUAUUUUCGAUGGACCCUGCAGAAGAUGCAGCAGCCAUCCCACCAAAACCUUUCCGGCAAUUUCCGAGAUGUCGGUUGUUUCUGGUAGAACCUUUGGAAUGUGUAAAUUUGUUUAGUUUUACGAACGUCACGUUAUCUCAGAGCCUUGACGAAAUUAAAAAUAGCAGUGCUGUGGGUGGGGGGGGGGGGGUGUCUAGAAAGGGCCGC